rnacentral:rRNA from 1 species
UACGUAGGUGGCGAGCGUUGUCCGGAAUUAUUGGGCGUAAAGAGCAUGUAGGUGGGAAUGUAAGUCUGUUGUUAAAAUGCGGGGCUCAACCCCGUAUUGCACUGGAAACUACAUUUCUUGAGUGCAGGAGAGGAAAGGGGAAUUCCCAGUGUAGCGGUGAAAUGCGUAGAUAUUGGGAGGAACACCAGUGGCGAAGGCGCCUUUCUGGACUGUGUCUGACACUGAGAUGCGAAAGCUAGGGGAGCGAACGGGAUUAGAUACCCCGGUAGUCCUAGCCGUAAACGAUGGGUACUAGGUGUAGGAGGUAUCGACCCCUUCUGUGCCGGAGUUAACGCAAUAAGUACCCCGCCUGGGGAGUACGGCCGCAAGGUUGAA